rnacentral:rRNA from 1 species
CCUACGGGUGGCUGCAGUGAGGAAUAUUGGUCAAUGGACGCGAGCCUGAACCAGCCAAGUAGCGUGAAGGAUGACUGCCCUAUGGGUUGUAAACUUCUUUUAUAUGGGAAUAAAGUGUUCCACGUGUGGGUUUUUGUAUGUACUAUAUGAAUAAGGAUCGGCUAACUCCGUGCCAGCAGCCGCGGUAAUACGGAGGAUCCGAGCGUUAUCCGGAUUUAUUGGGUUUAAAGGGAGCGUAGAUGGGUUGUUAAGUCAGUUGUGAAAGUUUGCGGCUCAACCGUAAAAUUGCAGUUGAUACUGGCAGCCUUGAGUACAGUAGAGGUAGGCGGAAUUCGUGGUGUAGCGGUGAAAUGCUUAGAUAUCACGAAGAACUCCGAUUGCGAAGGCAGUCUACUGAACUGCAACUGACACUGAGGCUCGAAAGUGUGGGUAUCAAACAGGAUUAGAUACCCGUGUAGUC